GUAGCGCUGGCUUCAGGAGCACAUAUUGGAAUAAUAAAGAGAAGAUUAGCAUGCCCCCUGCACAAGGAUGACACAAAAAUUCAUGAAGAGUUUCAUAUAUUU
ensembl:snRNA U6 U6 spliceosomal RNA